GGUAAAGUCGGGCAGUGCGGUAGUUAUAGGGGACUUGAUAGUUAACAGGAUAGAAAGUAGAUUCUGUGGCCACAAAAGAGAUUCUGUUGCCUCCUGGGUGCUAGGAUGUAACAGAGUGGCUGCAGGAUAUUUUUAAUGGGAAGGAUGAACAGCCAGGGAUCGUGGCACAUAUUGGCACCAAUGACAUGGGCAAAAAGGGGGAAGAGGUCCUACUCAUUGAAUAUAUAAAGUUAAGAAUGAGGCCAAAGAGAAGGACCUCCAAGGUAGUAAUCUUCAGAUUACUCCCAGUACCACGGGCUAGUGCAAGUAGGACUGGGGUGAAAGCAGAGAUGAAUAAGUGGCUGAGGAGAUGGUGCAGGGACAGGAUUUCAAGUUCUUGGAACCUUUUCUGGGAAAGCAAUGACCUGUACAAGAGGGACAAGUUGCACCUGAAAUGGAGGGGAGUCAAUAUCCUAGCCGGGAGGGUUGCAAGUUCUAUUCAUGAGAGUUGAAACUAGUUUUACAGAAAACUGAGAACUGGAACAUCAGGUUGGUAAGGGAAGGAUCGAACCAGAGGUAGACAUCAGGGAUAGUAUUGAAAGGCAAAAUCAAAACAACAGAUAUGAUUGGUUGGAUAGUUUGGAGUAUUAUAUUUUAAUGCUUGGAGUAUUAUAGUAGGGAAGGGUGAUGACCCUAGAGCAUGGAUCAGUGCGAGGAACUAUGAUGUUGUGGCCAUUACUGAAAUUUGGUUGAGAGAGGGGCAGGAAUGGGUGAUUAAUGUACCAGGUUUGUAAAGUUUUAGAAAAAUAGAGCAGGAGGUAAAAAAGGGGGUGGAGAUGCGCUAUUAAUCAGGGACAAUGUCAUAGCUGCAUUCAGAGGAGACAUAAUGGAGGGGUCAGAUACUGAGUCCAUUCGGGUUGAACUCAGGAACAGGAAAGUGCAAUCACACUGAUAGGAUUGUCCAACGGAUCCCCUGAUAGCCUCUGGGACAUUGAGGAACAGGUAUGUAAUCAGAUUAAGGAUAUGUGUAAACAAAUAAUGGGGCUGUUUUCAUGGAGAUUUCAACUUCCCUAAUAUAAGCUGGGACCUUAUUAAUGCAAGGGGUCUAGAUGGGGCAAAAUUUGUUAAGUGUAUCCAGGAAGGUUCUUAAAUCAGUAUGUGGGUAACCAACGAGAGGACCUAGCAUUGGGUAAUGAGUGUGCCCAGGUUACUGACCUUUCAGUUAGGGAACAGUGACCACAACUCCUUAACUUUAGAUAAAAAUAGGUAUGGUCCUUAUGGGAGAGUUUUAAAUUGGAAUUGGGCAAAUUAUGAGGGCAUUAGGCAGGAACUAAGAAGAGUUAAUUGGGACCACCUUUUCUUGGCAAGACCACAGAGAGCUGAUGAAUUUAGUCCAGAAGAAAAAGGGAAAGUAUGUAAAGAUUCAGAAAUUAGAAUCAAAUGGAGCAGAUGACGAGUAUUCAGAAGCCAGAAUAGAACUAAGGAAGAGAAUUAGGAAAGCCAGUAGAGGCCAUGAAAAGAUCAAGGCAAAUCCCAAGGCAUUCUGUACAUACAUCAAGAGCAAGAGGAUAACAUAAAGCCAAAGAGAGAGCAUGUAAUCGAGCAAAAAUUAGUGGGAAGUUAGAGGAUUAGGAAGCCUUUAUAAACCAACAGAAGGUAACUAAAAAAAUCAUUAAGAAGGAAAAGAUAGAACACAAAAGUAAACUAGCCAAUAAUACUAAAGAGGAUACCAAAAGUUUCUUCAGAUACAUGAAGUGUAAAACAGAGGCAAGGGUGGAUAUCAGUCCAUUAGAAAACAAUGCUGGAGAGGUAGUGAUGGGGGACAAGGAAAUGGCAGGUGAACGGAAUAAAUAUUUUGAAUUAGUCUUCAUUGUGGAAGCCAGUAGCAGUAUGGUGGAAGCUCCAGAGUAUCAGAAGUCAUGAAAUGUAUGAAAUUACCGUUACAGAGAGAAGGCUCUUGGGGAAAAUGAAAGGCCUGAAGGUAGAUGAGGUCACCUGGACCAGAUGGUAUGCACGCCAUGGUUCUGAAAGAGAUGGCUGAAGAGAUUGUGGAGGCAUUAGUAACAAUCUUUCAAGAAUUAUUUGAUUCUGGAAUGGUUCUGGAAGACUGGAAAAUUGCAAAUGUCAUUCCACUUUUUAAGAAGGGAGGGGGACAGAAGAAAGGUAACUACAGGCCUGUUAACCUGACCUCGGUGGUUGGGAAGAUGUUGGAGUUGAUUGUUCAGGAUGUGAACACAUGAUAAAAUAGGCCAGUCAGCAUUGUUUCCUCAAGGGAAAAUCUUGCCUAACAAACCUGUUGGAGUUCUUUGAAGAAAUAACAAGCAGGUUAGACAGAGGAGAAUCGAUUGCUGUUGUGUCCUAGGAUUUUCAGAAGCCCUUUGACAAGGUGCCACACAUGAGGCUGCUUAACAAAUUAAGAACCCAUGGUAUUACAGGAGAGAUUCCAGCAUGGAAUCCAGCAGUGUAUUUUGUGAAUAAAGCAGUGGUUGUUUGGCAGGAUACAAAGAGUGGGAAUAAAGGGAACCUUUUCUGGUUGGCUGCCAGUGACUAGCGGUGUUCCACAGGAGUCUGUGUUGGGACCACUUCUUUUUAUGUUGUAUGUCAAUGAUUUAGAUGAUGGAAUUUGUAGCUUUGUUUCAAAGUACAUUUAUUUUCAAAGAAUGUGUAAAUUAUACAACAUCGAGAUUUGAUUGCUUACAGGUAGCCACAAAGCAAGAAACCUGAAAGAAUUUGUUACAAGAAUCACCCCUUGUAGGCACAAGAGAGAAUCUGUAUUUACCGCCAAGUACCUUUAUUGUCUCAACGGAAGAACAUGUGAACUUAGACAACCAAUACCUGUGUGCAAACCAGCUAAGUUUUCCUGACCUUCCAUGAACAGUCAAAGAACAGAAAAUAUAAUACCGGUUAAAAAGGAGUUUCUACUGCUGGCCACAUGUUCCUCAUCGUCCUUUUACAAAUCUCCAGGUGUCAGCAGGGCACCUCGCAUCCCCGAUAGCUGUUCUCCUACAGAGUUAAAGUCACUAGCACUGCUUUUAUAUUCCUUUCUUACCAAUUCAGAUAUUGCAUUCCAGUGUCAUUGGCUGUAGGUCAUGUGUCUGGCCUUUAACACAGCUAGUGGCUCUGCUGCAAGCCAGCAUCCAUCUAUUGCCUUCUUCGCAGCAAGUGACAAUCGGUAAUUUAUUUCUCUUGUCACAAGGGGGCGUUGGGAAUGGACCCAAAUGCAAAUCACAGACACUGUAGUUGUCUGAACAAGACUAUGUCUAUUAACAAUACUAGGGAAGCCAAGGAGCGAGGAAAAAAUAUCAACCUGGACAUGAGUGUAAAAUAACAAACUGGAAAACCUGGACUAGGACUUGAGACUUGAACUUGACUGAGAACUCGGGUCUUGGCCGGGACUAGGUACCUGCAUCUUGACUUGGCUCUUGACCUGGAACUCGGACUCAAGCUCAGACUCAGACUUGACUAGACUUGACUCUUCUUGGACACAGGACACAGAGCCAGGACUCUUUUUGGACACAGGACACAGAGCCAGGACUCUUCUUGGACACAGGACACAGAGCCAGGACUCUUCUUGGACACAGGACACAGAGCCGGGACUCUUCUUGGUAUGAGUUUCUGAUGCUGAGCUUCCAGAUGUGGGUUUCAGACGCCAAGCUUCCUGGUGCGGGUUUCUUGACAGGGAUGGUCCAGAAAAGGAAUAGAUGGACCCCUGAGCUAUUUAUGUUGCAAGCUCGAAAUGAGGAUCAGUUGCCUCAAUUAAAGGACCCAAUGGAACAAGGAAAAACAGAAACAACCAGAAUACAGAAUCCACAGACCGGACCGUGACAGUACCGCCACCCCCCGCCCCCCCUCCAUGGGAGCCUCCUGAUGAUCCAACCAGCUUUCCCAGAUUAUCGAUGAUCCAGGUGAGUUGGAGGGGGGUGGUUUCAACAAGGGGGACCCCCGGCUGACCAGAGUUUAAUGGCAGUGUCUGUGUUGCUGGGUCCAUGUUUGGCUGGACCGUUCUGUCACAAGGGGGCGUUAGGAACGAAACCAAAUGCAAGAUGCAGACACUGCAGUAGUCUGAACAAGACUAUGUUUAUUAAGAAUACUAGGGAAGCCAAGGAGCGAGGACAAAAUAUCAACCUGGACGCGAACAUAAAGUAACAAACCAGAAAACCUGGACUGGGACUUGACUGAGAACUCAGGUCUUGGCUGGGACGCUCUUUGACUAGAACUCGUGCUUGGCUUGACCAGGAACUCAGGCUCGUCAUGAGGCAUAUGAAGACCCUGCUGCCCCCCUCACUGGACCCCCUGCAGUUUGUGUACCGUCCCAACCGCUCAACAGAUGAUGCCAUUGCCACCACCCUCCACCUGGCCCUAACCCACCUGGACAAAAAAGACAUAUGCAUUCAAAUGCUGUUCAUAGACUUCAGUUCAGCAUUCAACACAAUCAUCCCUCAUGAUUGGAAAGCUGAGCCUACUGGGCCUGAACACCUCCCUCUGCAACUGGAUCCUGGACUUCCUGACUGGGAGACCUCAGUCAGUCAGGAUUUGGAGCAGCAUCUCCAGCACCAUCAGUUUGAGCAUGGGGGCCCCACAGGGCUGUGCGCUCAGUCUACUGCUGUUCACUCUGCUGGCCCACGACUGUGCUGCAACACACAGCUCGAACCACAUCAUCAAGUUCGCCGAUGACAUGACUGUGGUGAGUCUUAUCAGCAAGAACGAUCAGUCAGCUUCCAGAGAGGAGGUGCAGCGGCUAACGGACUGGUGCAGAGCCAACAACCUGUCGCUUAAUGUGAACAAAACAAAAGAGAUCGUUGUUGACUACAGGAGUGCAUGGAGCGACCACUCCCCACUGAACAUCGACGGCUCCUCGGUAGAGAUCGUUAAGAGCACCAAAUUUCUUGGUGUUCACCUGGCGGAGAAUCUCACCUGGUCCCUCAACACCAGCUCCAUAGCAAAGAAAGCCCAACAGCGUCUCUACUUUCUGCGAAGGCUGAGGAAAGUCCAUCUCCCAAACCCCAUCCUCAUCACAUUCUACAGGGGUUGUAUUGAGAGCAUCCUGAGCAGCUGCAUCACUGCCUGGUUUGGAAAUUGCACCAUCUCGGAUCGCAAGACCCUGCAGUAGAUAGUGAGGUCAGCUGAGAAGAUCAUCGGGGUCCCUCUUCCUGCCAUCAUGGACAUCUAUACUACACUCUGCAUCCGCAAAGGAAACAGCAUUAUGAAGGACCCCGUGCACCCCUCAUACAAUCUCUUCUCCCUCCUGCCGUCUGGGAUAAGGCUCCAAAGUAUUUGGGCUCUCACGACCAGACUAUGUAACAGUUUCUUCCCCUAAGCUAUCAGACUCCUCAAUACCCAGAGCCUGGACUGACACCUUGCCCUAUUGUCCUGUUUAUUAUUUAUUGUAAUGCCUGCACUGUUUUUGUGCACUUUAUGCAGUCCAGUGUAGGUCUGUAGUCUAGUGUAGCUUUCUCUGUGUUGUUGUUUUUUUUAACGUAGUUCAGUCUAGUUUUUGUACUGUGUCAUGUAACACCAUGAUCCUAAAAAACGUCUCAUUUUUACUAUGCACAGUGCCAGCAGUUAUGGUCGAAAUGACAAUAAAAGUGACUUGACUUGACUUGACUUGAGAUUCAGACUUGACUAGACUUGGACUUUUCUUGGACACAGAGCCGGGACUCAACCGUGGACACAGGACACAGAGCUGAGACUCUUCUUGGACACAAGACACAGAGCCGGGACUCUCCUUGGACACAGCACACAGAGCCGGGACUCUCCUUGGACACAGGACACAGAGCUGGGACCUUUCCUGGACACAGGACACAGAGUCAGGACUCUCCUUGGACACAGGACACAGAGCUGGGACCUUUCCUGGACACAGGACACAGAGUCAGGACUCUCCUUGGACACAGGGCUUGACCCUUCUUGGAUGCCGGACACAGAGCCGGGACCUUUUUUGGCCACUGGACACAGAGCUGGGACCCUUCUUGGUAUGAGUUUCUGACGCCGAGCUUCCUGAUGUGGGUUUCGGAUGCUGAGUUUCCUGGUGCAGGUUUCUGACAGGGAUGGUCCAGCAAAGGAAUAGCUGGACCCCUGAGCUAUUUAUGUUGCAAGCCUGAAAUGAGGAUCAGCUGCCUCAAUUAAGGCACCCAAUGGAACAAGGGAAAACAGAAUCAACCAGAAUACGGAAUCCACGGACCAGACCGUGAACCGGAAUGCGGACCUUACGGACCGUGACAGCUGCUUGUUCUCAAUCAGUAACAUGUGUGAAUCAGGCAGAACAGAUACAGACUCCAACAGUCAAAAAUCUGCAUGUUCCAUCCAACCAAAGGACAUCUCACAAAUAACUUCUUAUCUGGAAAUGACCUCUAGUCCAGCAGAUUACCUGAGGCAUCAUUAUAUUGACUUUAAAACACUGAUCAAGCCAAGAGACUCUCACAAAAUGGAGAAUCUCUUCAUAAAAUGGUAACCUCCAUCUCCUCCCUCCUGGCAAGAACAAAGGUAAUUGGUCUGUCUGCUUCCACUGCCCUUAAUUCAUUUGAACUCACUGCUUUGCUGACUGUAGUUCUUUCUGGCCAACAAACCCAAUCAAAAGAUAAUAAUAAAGACCAAUACCCAAUGCGCAAGAGAAAGAGGGAAAGAACACAAACCAUGCAAACAAAAGCGAGCAUCAACAUUCUGAAUUGGGUUGAGUCCUCAGAUCCAAACCCCACAGUAGGCCCAAAGCCUCAGUAUAUUAUCAGGCACAGAGCACAGCAGCCUGGGCAAUCUUCAUAGCCUCAGCACCAUGAUGAGAGGAGUGAACAUCGCAGAGAGUGAGUGAAAUUGGCUCUCAACUCUGAUCCCAAGAUGCCUGGCCAGUGUGCAAACUGUCCAGACAGCUUAAUGUACCUCGCAUUAGGACCUGGAAACCACUGCUGCGAAGGGCUCCGGGCCAAGACCAUGCCGCCCAACAGCUUGCUCCGGGCUCAGAUUUUGCCACUCUCAAACUCUUAAAAUCGGCUCGGCAGCCAGACUAUCCAACCUCGCACCCAGGCCAGUUGUACAGGCAUCAGAACUCCUCCGCCCAACUUCUCCUUUCUGAAUGGCGGCUCACUCCGUUUGUGUCAAUUCUGCAACACACCAGCACAGCUCAUCCCCGAACUUGUUUCGCUUUCACUUGCCACUUCAUUGCUAGUGGUGAUAAUUUACAACAAUUUACUACAGAAAAGGUGUUGUUAGUAAUGUUUUUAGUCAAAUUUCUUGCCUUUUGAACUACCAGUGGAAUGUCGCAUACGCUCAGUAGUGCCAUCUUAACCGGAAAGUUUGCAAACAAUAUGAAGAGAGGUGAAGGGGCAAAUAGUUUUGAGGAAGUAGAGAAGCUGCAGAAGGACUGAGACAGAUUAGGAGAAUGGGCAAGGAAGUGGCAGAUGGAAUACAGUGUUAAGAAGUGUAUGGUUGUGCACUUUGGUAGAAGAAGUAAAAGGGUAGACUAUUUUCUAAAUGGAGGAAAUACUUGGAACUCCUUGUACAGGAUUCCCUAAAGGAAAAUUUGCAGGUUGAGUCUGUGGUGAGAAAGGCAAAUGUGAUGUUAGCAUUCAUUUUAAGAGGAUUAGAAUAUAAAAGCAAGGAGGUAAUGAUGAAGCUUUAUAAAGCACUGGUGAGGCCUCACUUAGAGUAUUGUCAGCAGUUUGGGCCCCAUAUCUUAGAAAGGAUGUGCUGAAACUGGAGAGGGUUCAAAGGAGGUUCACAAAAUGAUUCCAGGAUUGAACGGCGUAUCAUAUGAAGAGCAUUUGAUGGCUCUGGGCCUGUAUUCACUGGAAUUCAGAAGAAUGAGGGGUGACCUAAGAAGGCAGAACGGAGUGGUGAUGACACUAAAUGGCGACUCCUUUGCUUGCAUGUUCAUAAACAGUUCCAUUUCCAUCUUUAAUAUCUUCAUUUUUCCCUUUCAGGGUUCUUUUGAAGACCCUGUCCUGGAGUUACACGCUGACUACAGUUCUUUGCGGGAAUGGGAUCCGCUGUCAGGGUUUCAUAAGCAGCCGUUGUUGUUCGGCACACUGAGGGCUCGGCCUAAGAGUCUGGCUCAAAUUUGGAAGCCUAGGAUCUUGGGGCUCUGGAGAUGGGCGGAUUGAGGGUCGGUGUCAUGACAGGACACCCAUGUGUCGUUGGGGGUUUCGGAAUAUCUGCGGUUGAGUGCCUAGUUUUUAGGGUACAGAGCUAAAAAAAAAAGCGACGUGGUGGACGUAAACCAUCGUAAACCAGCGAGUUGUUAUGUCUCCCUGCUCGCUGGGAAAAUGGAGACAUCUCUUUCUCCUUUAUUAAGGAGAGAGAGAACCUGUGGUAUGUUGAGUACGAGGUGAAACGCAAAGCCUUUGGGAUAACUGCAAGUCAGUGCCUUUGCUGUUGCCUUGUUCACGCUUGAGUGCUCAGUGGUGGGUGCCAUGCUUUUUCUUGCCGGUGGGGGUUGUUUGCUGCUGCUUACACAUGGGAGAGGGGAGUUGGGGGUUACUUUGGGGUUCUAACAUUUGACUGUCAUUCAUUCUUUAGGACACUCCUCUGUUUUCAUGAUGGUUUGCGAAGAAAAAGCAUUUCAGGAUGUAUAUUGUAUACAUUCCUCUGACAUUAAAUGUACCUUUGAAACCAUUGAAACUCAUCGAAACCUAUCUACCUACUGAUAGAAUUGGUGUGGAGAGGAUGUUUCCUACAGUGGGACAGUCUAGGACCAGAGGACACAGCCUCAGAAUAGAGGGGUGUCCUGUUAGAUUAGAGAUGAGAAAUUACUUCAGCCAGAGAAUGGUCAAUCUGUGGAAAUCAUUGCUACGGGCAGCUGUGGAGGCCAAGACUUUAUGUAUAUUUAAGGCAAAUGUUGAUAGAUUCUAGACUGGUCAGGGCAGGAAGGGAAAUGGGGAGAAGGCAGGAGAUUGGGGCUGAGAGGAAGAAUGGAUCUGCUAUGAUGGAGCGGUAGAGCAGACUCGAUGAGUCAAAUGGCCUAAUUCUGCUUCUAUAUCUUAUGAUCUCAUAACUAGGGAGAGGGCAGGACCACUCAGGAUAAAGAGGGGAACAUUUGUUUGGAUCCUGAGAAUGUGAGCAAAGUAAUCAGUGAGUACUUUGCUUCAGUACUUACCAAGGAAAAGGGUAUGGAGAACCAGAGCUGAGUGCAUAAAUACAUUAGGGCAUUUAGAGCUCAAGGAGGAGGAAGUGUUGGGCCUCCUAAUGAGUAUAAAGUUGGAUAAGUCCCAAGGACCCAAUAGGAUUUACCCCAAUUUAUUGAAGGAGGCAGGAGACGAGAUUGCUGGCGCCUCAUGUCCUCUGUAGUGCGGGUAAGGUCCUGCAGGACUGACGAGUGGCUAAGACUGUACCUCUAUGUAAGAAGGGAAAAUCCUGUGAACUAUAGACCAGUGAGUCUCACGUCAGUUGCAGGACAUUUGCUUAAGAAUAUUCUUAGAGAUAGAAUAUAUGAGCAUUUGGAAACCCAUGGCCUAAUUAUGGAGAGUCAGCAUGCCUUUGUGAGGGGCAGGUCAUAUCUUACUAACUUCAUUGAGUUUUUUCUUAAGGUGACAAGAGAGAUUGAUGAAGGCAGGGCAAUGGACGUUGUCUACAUUACUUAGUUAGGCAUUUGACAAAGUGCCUCAUGGGUGACUAAUCCAGAAGAUGAAGAUGCAGUGAAUUAGCUCUUUAGAUUCAGAACUGGUUUGCAUGUAGAAGAUGGGAGAAGUUGAGGGGACUUAUUUGAGCUGGAGGUCUGUGAUUAGUGGAGUUCUACAUGGAUUCGACUAAUGUAGAUGGAUGCGUUAGUAAGUAAGCAGAUAAUACCAAGAUUGGUGGAGUUGUGGAUGGUGUAGAAUCCGGGCAUAGAAUAGAGCAUGACAGAUUUGUUGCAGAUAUGGGCAAAGAAAUGGCAGAUAGAGUUUAACCCAGAUAAAUGUGAGGUGACCCACCUUGGUAGGGCAAAUGGAAGGAGACAGUACACAGUUAUGGUCAAGAUUCUUAACAGAGUUACUGAUCAGAGAGAUCCGUAGAUCCAAGUUCAAUGCUCCUUAAGGUCGAUAAGGUGGUUAAGAAGGCUGAUGGAAUUAUUUUAUUAGUCGAGGCAUUUUAUUAGUGCUUAGGCCACAUCGGGAGUAUUGCAGACAGUUCUGGUUACAGCACUAUAGGAAGGACAUUGAGGUUUUGGAGGGGGUACAGAAGAGGUUUACCAGGAGGCUGUCUGGUUUAAAGGGCAUGUGCUAUUAUGAGAGGCUGGAUAAAUUUGUGUCAUUUUCUCUGGAGCUCAGGCUUAAUUAAGGGAGAUCUCAUAGAAGUCUAUAAGAUUAUGAGAGGCAAAGAUAGUGUAGACCGGGACUAUCUAUUUCCCAGGGCUGAAAUGUCUAAUACCAGAUGGCAUUGAAUGUGAGAGGGCAUAGGUUCAAAGAAGAUGUGAGGGGUAAGUUUUUUACUCACAGAGUGGUGGAUGUCUGGAAUGUGCUGCCUGGUGUGGUGGAAGAGACGAAUAUAUUACAGGCUUUUAAAAGACAUUUGGAUGCGCAUAUGAACGUAAGGAAGAUGGAGGGACAUGAACAUUGUGUAGGUAAGAGGAAUUAGUGUUUGGGUAUUUCUGAAUUGCUUUUUAGUUGGUUCAGCACAAUGCUGUGGGCCGAAUGGCCUGCUCCUAUGCUGUGCAGUUCUAUAUAAAACUUACUUCCCCGUAUUCUUCGAUCCAGCAAUUCCUCCUGCCUCACCGAACUAGAAAUGUAUUGCUCCAGAAAAUUAUCCUGUACACUCUGUGCUUAGUGAUAUUAAUCUUCUAGUUUAUAACACAGGCUUUUAUUUCUCCAAAGCAACCACUACAUAGUUUUCACAAAUAUCUGUAAUCUCUUUGAAUGCUGUUCCUUCUGUCCUACUCAUCCAUCCAUAGAAAUACAUGGCAUAAGUAGGCCUUUUGGCCCAUUGAGCUUGUGCUAUCCAUCAAUCAAUCAUAUCAACUAAUUCUACUCUUGUUUUUUAUUCUCAGCACUCCAUCAUCAAUUCCCUCAGAUUUCUACCAUUCAGCUACACGUUAGGGUUAAUAUAACUUAACAGCCUGCACACCUUGGGAUGUAGGAGGAAGCCGGUGGGCGGUGGGGGAACCAGAGACCUUGGUGCCUCACCUACUCUUGGGGUUCUUGCAGGUAGAGUGAUAAAAGACCAGUAGCCCAUUCCUAGAAUGAGAGGCUUGUUGAGAAGGAAGGGGGAAAGUUGGGCCUCCGGAGCUUAGAAAUACAGAUCGAAAGGUCUUUGGAAAGAUAAUGCUGGGAAGAGUUCAAUCAAUGGUGGAGUCUCUACCACAAAACCAAAAUGAAGAGUUUCUUCCCUCCUUCCUCUAAAGUUGUGAAUCUUGAGUUUUCUCUAUGCCAGUGAGCUUCAAAGACAGAGUCAUUCAGAACUCAGCUGUUUUCUUAGAUUACAGGGCAUUAAGAUAUAGCAAGUAAAUCAAGGAGAGUCUGAGAUUGUCAGUUGACAUCUUACUGUUCAAUCUCACAGGUCUGCCUCUCCAUCUCCUCUUGUUUUCUGAUCAAUAUUACCUCAAAAUAUCCUGCAGCCGCUGCACUCGAGGAGCUGAAAUAUGAUCUCACCACUUCUCAUGAGGAAGUGGCUUGAAUCUACUGAACAAGUAGUUCAUUGCCAUGGUAAAGCAGAACUGGAAGUUCACCGUGUGUUUCUAAAUACAAGUAUAGAACUAUAAGGAGAAAUAUACAAUUUCCAUCAGACCAGAUUGACUUGCUUCUGUACCUUCUGUACUUACACAAUUAAAGGCUUGAUAUGCUGUAACAGGUAGCUAGCCUCCUGACUCACCAAAAUAUCUCUGCACAGCCCAAGUCAGGAGUUUGAUGGAAUUCUUGCCUCUUUAAUCCCAACAAUAUUCAGCCUAUUUGUAGAUUGCUGGGAUUGUGCGUUAACAAGGAGUGAAGCUAAAGAUCAGCAGAUUCAGAUUCUGAGGGAUAUGGGUGGGUGGCUAAAUUGUUGAGAUGGAAAUCAUGAAAGUAUUGAAUGCUGAGGUAAACAUGGACCCAAUAUUUCCUCCUUCAGUUAUAGUCUUAUAAAAGGAACUAAAAAUGGAUCUAAUUGUUGGAUAUUCCUGGGAAGAAAGUGGGGAAAAAAGGAACGAUGGUGGAAUUUGUGAAUGAGAAGUGAUAGGUAUUAUGACUUAAUGGUUUCAUUCAGUUCCACAAUAUUGGGGCAGCACAGUAGCAUAGCAGUCAUCAUAAUACUUUACAGUGCCAGCUGUAAGUUCAAGAUUUGCUAUCUGUAAGGAGUUUCGUGCAUUCUCUCCACCGCACCACGGGUUUCCUUCAGUUUCCAUUUCAAGUUAAGAUUAGUAAAUUAUGAGCAUGCUAUGUUGGCACUGGAGAUAUGGCAACACUUGCAGCCUGCCUCCAGCCCAGUCUGAACACAAACAAUGCAUUUCACUGUAUUUCCAUUAAAGUGUGACGUUCACACCAUCAGGCUGGAGGUUAUCCAAACAGAUUGGGGUGUCGCUGCUGCGUCAUAGGAGGAGACCCUGGCCUGAUACAUUGGAAUGGGAAGUCAAAUUGAACAAACUCAAUGAGUGAGCCUCCACAACUCCAAACUCAAGAAUUCCAAAAGUUCACCACACAGUAGUUUUUUUUUUCCUAACUUUCUAAAUCCCCACAGUAGGAUCACCAGUGCAAGUGAAAUUUUUAUAGUUGGAUUUCUCCAUUAUUGCAGUUAUACAUUAUAAAGAUCAAUGUUGCCCUGAUAAAAUCUGUAGCCUAUCUAAUACAAAUCCCUCCACAAUCCAGAACUUUUGUAUGAACAGCGGGAUAUCAUAUCCUGUGAUGCAUGUGACAGCAUUGCGCAACAUCUCAGACAGGCUCAGAAGAGUGGUUCAGAAGUGAAGACACUGCUGGAGAAAGGUUGCAACUCCUUGUCUGGAACCCAACGUUCUCUGUGUGAAAACUUCGUUCAAUCUUACAAAAAAGAGCUUAGCAAAUUGCUUCAAAAGUCCCAGGAGGAAAAGGACAUUUGUUGGGAACUGGACCUCUGUGUAAGGAAACAGACUGUACGAAUGUUUGUACGGGUUGUAUGUACUUUGGGACCAGCGUACUGGUGUAAGAGCCUCCAAACAGCCAACAAGUGUACUGCUGUUGAUUACUGUAAGAAACACCGCUGGAAUCAGGCCUAAUUUCAUAUCACUGGUGGAAGGCAACAGAAAUUGAAUACUUAAAAAAAUGCAAAGGCUCUUCCUUUAGUACCAGUUAAAUGAUGAUUCUGCUUGUGUGUUUGCAUGUUUCCUUUAAGCAAUUUUGUGUUGCUGUAGCUUGUGCAUUCAAUGCAAUCUCUUUUAUUGUGAGAUGUUACAGAGACGAGAUUAUUGGUAAUCCUUUACUUCCAUCGAAUCAACAUUGCCAGAUGCUAUAUACGCAGAGUUUCAAUGACAAAUAUUGAUUGGGGUUUUGAUUUCAUCAACUGUAAAAAUUCAGCAGACUAAAGUGCUUUAAGAUCA